UCACAGUGAUGAAUGGUCCAAACAUUCGCGGUUUCCACCAGAAUUGACUUGUGUUGGUGUAAACUUCCUUGGAUGUCUGAGUGA
rnacentral:snoRNA from 1 species